AUUGAACGCUGGCGGCAUGCUUUACACAUGCAAGUCGAACGGCAGCGCGGGCUUCGGCCUGGCGGCGAGUGGCGAACGGGUGAGUAAUACAUCGGAACGUGCCCAGUAGUGGGGGAUAGCUCGGCGAAAGCCGGAUUAAUACCGCAUACGACCUGAGGGUGAAAGCGGGGGAUCUUCGGACCUCGCGCUAUUGGAGCGGCCGAUGGCAGAUUAGCUAGUUGGUGGGGUAAAGGCCUACCAAGGCGACGAUCUGUAGCUGGUCUGAGAGGACUACCAGCCACACUGGGACUGAGACACGGCCCAGACUCCUACGGGAGGCAGCAGUGGGGAAUUUUGGACAAUGGGCGAAAGCCUGAUCCAGCAAUGCCGCGUGUGUGAUGAAGGCCUUCGGGUUGUAAAGCACUUUUGGCGGGAACGAAAAGGACUGUGCCAAUACCACGGUUCGAUGACGGUACCCGCAGAAUAAACACCGGCUAACUACGU
rnacentral:rRNA from 1 species